CCGUUGUUCAUUUGAAUAAGGAUGGUCUCGGGUGGGGCAAGGACAAAGCAUCUCUAUAUAAAGAUGUAUCGUUUCGGCAUUACGAUAAUCAUCUGAUUUAUUGCAGAUUUUUAGAACCGUUUUUACAUUUCAUCCGAUUUAAUCAUGAAUAAAGUGGUGUGCCUCGUUGUCUUGUUUGCCAUGCUGUCCAUAGCAUUUGCCCAACUGCCAGUUUCAGGCGGUUUUAAAGAUCAUGUAGGUAAUUAUUACGACUACACCACAGGCCAAGUCUCCAGCGCUGUCACAGGCAAAGUGUAUCAGGGUGUACCAGGAGUACCAGCUGUCCCGUUACCCUAUGCACAUUAUCCAUACGCAGGAGUCUACCAUUGGUAGAUUUAUUUGAAUUGGUGAAUUGUGAAAGAAGAGAUUAAAGUAUGAUGGCUUCUUCUUAAAAUAAACUAAAACAAAUUUCUCA